GUAGGUGGCAAGCGUUGUCCGGAAUUAUUGGGCGUAAAGCGCGCGCAGGCGGUUCUUUAAGUCUGAUGUGAAAGCCCACGGCUCAACCGUGGAGGGUCAUUGGAAACUGGAGAACUUGAGUACAGAAGAGGAAAGCGGGAUUCCACGUGUAGCGGUGAAAUGCGUAGAGAUGUGGAGGAACACCAGUGGCGAAGGCGGCUUUCUGGUCUGUACUGACGCUGAGGCGCGAAAGCGUGGGGAGCAAACAGGGAUUAGAUACCCUGGUAGUCCACGCCGUAAACGAUGAGUGCUAAGUGUUAGGGGGUUUCCGCCCCCUUAGUGCUGCAGCUAACGCAUUAAGCACUCCGCCUGGGGAUACGGCCGCAAGGCUG
rnacentral:rRNA from 1 species